AAAAAAAAAUGAAAAAAACUGCUGAACGAAUAAUUAUUCAGUUGGUGUUGGUGGAUUGAGAAAUUGAAAUUCCCACGACUUAGAGAAACCACAAUUAUUGGUCCCCAUGCAAAAUACUGUUAAAAUAACCCAACUUUUCCAUUAUGUGCUCCAGCAUUUCAUGCGUAAACUGACUACUGGCUGGAGCAAUCAAGUCAUAACGUAACCGCAAAAUAACAACUUCCGCACAAAUAUUUUCUGUAUUAAUUACUGAGCCUCUUCUUCAUAAUAUUGCGACAUAUUUUAGACAUAAAUAAAAGUGUCAUCGUCCUUUACAUGCAUCGCCAAGCACAUGAAGGUCCACAGAUCACAAGCACCGGCGACAGCAUGAAGAGCAGCAGACAAAAGUAUCCUCAAAACUACUUAACACUGUGACAAUUUUUAACCCUCUCCCCUUCUUUUCCACUUAAACUCGAUAUUUCAAUAACAACGAAAAUGAGUGAAGACAACAGAAAUUUAUUGCAUAUUGCUGAAAGCAUUUCCAUAUUGAAAAAUAAUAAUAAAUGCUGAAAAAGGCAGAGAAAAGAGAAGAAGAUUGCAAAAGAAAUAAUCACAAGUGCAUGGAGAUGCAAUUCAUACACAAUAGGGUCGGCCUGGCGACCGCUGGUCAGUGAGCAGUCCAAAUACAUUUCAUUAUUGUGGGUGCCAUUGUUUGUUGCUGCUGUUGUUGACAUUGCUGUUGACAUUGGACACUUUGUUUAAUUUGCAAGCAAAAACAAAUAUGUCGCUUUGAGUAGUGUGUAAAAGUGCAUGAAAAGAGAAAUGAAGUAAAAAUUCUGAAAAAUCAACUGCGAAUUGCAACAGUAAAGUGCAUUUGCUGCCCACCAGCUUGGGUUCCUUGGAAUUGAAGUGCUGCUGCUACUGCUGUUUUAAGUUUUCGAUGUUGCUCUUAUUGCCUGCGUGUUGUUGUUGUUUUUGGUGUUUUCGGCACUACACUUCAUUGCCAUAUGGAAAAGUGCAUUUUUAUGUCGCAUUCUGCCAAGUGUUAUUAACAUUUGUUUGCAAGGGAAAAAAUUAAAAAAAACAUCAUAAGAGCCUAGCAUAAAUGAAUUGCGAAAAAAAAACAAAAAA